UAAGACACGAAGAUCGUGGGUAAAUCCAGGU
rnacentral:piRNA from 1 species